rnacentral:lncRNA from 1 species
UUCUUCCUGUCACGGCUCCUCAGUGACGCUUUCAUCAGUGGAGGGCAUUGAAGAUACUCCUCUCCUUUGAUCUCCAUCAAGAUCUAUGCACGGAGAGCAGAAAGAAAAGUAUAAGAGUCAUACUUGCCCGAGUUGUUCGACUUUAGACUCUGUCAUCGAGGUGAAGCUCACCUAUCGAUAGUUGACUGACUUGAUUCAGUCAGAGCUUCACUUUUCUUCUGCUUCUUUUUCUGAUCCUUUUCUUCUAUCUGGCACCGAUCAGAAGUACCCUCAUCCGUACGAAUAUAUUUGUAUGUGCUCUUCAAUAGUUCAGCAUAAGUCUGAAGGAGAGUUUUAUCUAGAGAAUAGAAAAAUUUGGAUUUCCUCAGAUUUCUCUUUAUGGCCGAUAUGACCAUAUCUUCAUUGAGGUCCCUGACUUCAGGUGUGGUCACAUUAAAGCGAGCCACAAAAUCUCUUAACAUCUCUAUCUUGUCUUGCUUAAUGGAGAAGACACUAUCUGAUGUCUGUGAUACUCUUUGACUAAUGGUGAAGUGG